rnacentral:rRNA from 1 species
GGGCUUGACAUCCCACGAACCUGGCAGAAAUGCCUUGGUGCCUUCGGGAAUCGCGAGACAGGUGCUGCAUGGCUGUCGUCAGCUCGUGUCGUGAGAUGUUGGGUUAAGUCCCGCAACGAGCGCAACCCUUGUCUUCUGUUGCCAUCGGGUUAUGCCGGGCACUCUGAAGAGACUGCCGGUGACAAACCGGAGGAAGGUGGGGAUGACGUCAAGUCAGCAUGGCCUUUAUGUCUGGGGCUACACACGUGCUACAAUGGCAGAUACAAACCGUCGCGAUGCCGCAAGGUGGAGCUAAUCGGAGAAAGUCUGUCUCAGUUCGGAUUGCAGGCUGCAACUCGCCUGCAUGAAGUUGGAAUCGCUAGUAAUCGCGGAUCAGCACGCCGCAGUGAAUACGUUCCCGGGCCUUGUACACACCGCCCGUCACAUCACGAAAGCCGGCUGUACUCGAAGUCGCUGAG